rnacentral:rRNA from 1 species
CGCCUCUUGAUAAGACAUAAGAGGUCCAGCCUGCCCAGUGAUAUUCUUAAACGGCCGCGGUACCCUGACCGUGCAAAGGUAGCAUAAUCAUUUGUUCUUUAAAUAAGGACUCGUAUCAACGGCAUCACGAGGGUUAUACUGUCUCCUCUUUCCAAUCAGUGAAACUGACCUCCCCGUGAAGAGGCGGGGAUGAAAAUACAAGACGAGAAGACCCCAUGGAGCUUUAAACCCAAUAACAACUCUUUCUAAAUAAACUUUAAAAACACAGAUGUACUGUUUAUUGGUUUUGGGUUGGGGUGACCACGGAGUAAAAAUUAACCUCCCUGAUGGACAGAUUUCAUCUUUAUCCAAGAGCUACUGCUCAAAGAAUCAAAAAUUUGACAUUACAUGAUCCGGCAACCGAUCAACGAACCAAGUUACCCUGGGGAUAACAGCGCAAUCCAUUUUAAGAGUCCCUAUCGACAAAUGGGUUUACGACCUCGAUGUUGGAUCAGGGUAUCCCAGUGGUGCAGCCGCUACUAAAGGUUUGUUUGUUCAACAAUUAAAACCCU